GGCGGUAAACGCGUUUUCGUGAACGUGUCGCAACUCGCCGGUGGAGACGACUAAUCCAUGAAGUGCCACAUCUUCGAGGAAAUAUGCCGACUGAUACAUCUUUUGUUUUUAUGGCGGUCUAUUCUUUCAAGGGGUAUAAAAAUUAUAAGUUUAAAAAAAUCACUAUGCAAAAAAAGUGCAAUUGAUAAUAGAAUACUCAUUAUCAAUAUAUAAAAAUGACGGAUGCAGCAAGCAACAUGAAAUAAGGAAGAUCAAGCAGUGCCGUUCUAUCGCCGGUACAUCUGAGCGUAUGUGGAAAGUCACAAGAACACUCCACGCCUGCUUUUGUGAUAUUCGGACAUUCC